UACGUAGGGGGCAAGCGUUGUCCGGAAUCAUUGGGCGUAAAGCGCGUGUAGGCGGUCCGGUAAGUCGGCUGUGAAAGUCCAGGGCUCAACCCUGGGAUGCCGGUCGAUACUGCCGGACUAGAGUUCGGAAGAGGCGAGUGGAAUUCCCGGUGUAGCGGUGAAAUGCGCAGAUAUCAGGAAGAACACCCGUGGCGAAGGCGGCUCUCUGGGACGUGACUGACGCUGAGACGCGAAAGCGUGGGGAGCGAACAGG
rnacentral:rRNA from 1 species